rnacentral:lncRNA from 1 species
CUGAGCUGUGUGAUGUUUGCAGGAAGCCGAUUUUUUUUUUCUCAUCGCUGUUCUAAGUAUCGCCCAAUGUAGAAUUAUAGCUAAAGAUAGAACUUAGUCCUGACCUUUGUUUACUUCCACCCCGCGCACGUUUGGAUUCGUAAGAGAACAGUUGCUAAGGAAUACUUGAGCUCCUUUCCAAACUUUCUUUUGUUCGCCCCAGACUUUGGACGAGGGUUGUCGGGAUGAAAGACGGACGAAAUUGAGGGGAAGCGGCAGAAAAUCCUACCUUCCUCUCCAAGUUUCCGGGUACACCGGAGUCGGUUUUCUCAUCGGAGAGGUGAGGAUGCCAAAUCUCAGGGUUUCUACGCCUCGUCCCUUUACAAUAUUUUUGGGGUUGCGGGAUGACUUGGCUCGAUCAAGAAGUUAACCGAAUAAGCACCUACAAUAUGCAGACCGUCAGGUGGCGCAGCAGAGCAAGUGCCGACCCCCGAGUCAGGAAGACUCUUAGUCCUGACGCCAGUUCCUGGGCAAGUCAUUUAAGAGUUGGAAACGACUGAAAAUUUAAUUUUUUCCAGUUCACAUACAAGGAAAUGGAGAAACUCGGAUUUUUUUGUUGAAACCCGUGUGCUGGAUUAUUUCCUGCCCGAUUUAUCUAAUAUAGUAAGACCGAUCAAAUUUUUUUUUUAAGUGUAGAAGCAUAGAGUUGCAAACGAACUCAGAUCAUGUAAUCCAACAUUCUUCCCAAAAGGAAUUUUCACCACUAUAUCGCUUCAGAAUCUUCAUCCAUGCUUAAUUUGAAAAUCUCCUGUGAGAAAAAAUGCCCCACUAUUUAUGGAAGUCCAUUCUAUUUUGGGACGAUUUUAGUUUUUUUUUUGCUUUACAGAGAAUUUAAAUUGUAAAACUUCCCAAGUUAUUUAUCUCCACUGACUUUUACUUCUGCCCCUUUCUACCAAAAAAAAAAAAAAAAAAAAAAAACUCUUAAAUUUUUCUAUUUCAUUUAAUGAUACUUCCCUCGCUUAUAACUGCUAUACUUGGCAGGGAGGGGGGGAUAAAAGGGGAUAUAGUUUAACAGAAUUGUUAGCUACUUCUUCACUACUUAAAACUCUAUAUUUUGGUUUGUCCCCAACAUUCUCUAGAAUACAAAACUUCAGUCAUCAUUUCAGUUCUUUACUACUUUGCAGAGACAAUCACUCCCCAAAUAUUCUUUACUUCCUUAUUUCUCCAACACCAGUCUCCAUAUUCUUGUUUGCAUUUUUUCUCUGCUGGCUCAUUGUCCUGAUCCUUUGAAAUGAGUGAUUUCCAGGAUGUCCCAAAAGUCUGACAGCAGUUUUGGGAUUUGGGGGACACCUUGUAUAAGCUCUCCUUAAGUAAUUCCAUAAAUUCCCAUGCUUUCCAACUACCAUUUUUAUGCAGAUAAUUCUCAGACCCCUUUCUUUCUCCAGAUAGCAUUUUUGUAAAUGAGAAUAUCACACUGCAUGUUAAAUAAAGCUUGAUCAAAAUUAAGCUCAUUUCCCCAAAAUCUGCUCCUUUCAAAUUAAAUGGUUCCAAUAUCUACUCGUUCUCCCAUGUUUGCAAUUUGGGAGUCUUUUUUUUCCUUUCUAUACCUCAAAUCUAAUUAGUUCUAUAUAUAGUAUCUAUAUUUUUGCAACACCUCAUAUCUAUUCCCUCUAUUCUCAUUGCUAUCAUCACUACUAGUACAAAUUCAUUACCAUCCACCUAGGAUGCUUUUAAGUCUAACAAGUUUUCAUACUUUUCCAUGCAAUAUAUCUGAAUACAACUGAUCUGUCAUAUGUAUGGGUUUGGUCAUCUUAUCAGGCUUAUGUCUUUACUUUGAAAGCCCUCUACAAUGAUGCUGCUCAUCUUCUCAGGCUUAUAUUAAAGUCUCAUUGUUCAACAAGUGCAUUCCCAUUGUUUUUGUUUGUUCUUACACCGAGUACCCUCAUUUUCACUUUUAAAAUUAAUUUCAAUGUGUCAUAAAAGCUUUCCCCUUCCUCCCCUGAGAUCUCACAUAGCACAUAAUUCCAGAACUAAAAUGAUCUAGUCCAACCAAUACCUUUCAAAGAAUAUCCUGUG